AGCCGCCAGCGAUAAUCGAUUUUCGCUAGCGGUUGUGUUAUACCGGCCGCGAGCGAUAACCGAUUUUCGCUGGCGGCU
rnacentral:pre_miRNA from 13 species